CUCUCAGUAAAGCCUACAAUAUUGAGACACUUUCAUCCCACAGAACUGCCAUAAGGACAGUUGCAGCAUCUUUACGUGUUCCACAGGAAAUUCAAUGUAUUUUUUCUUUUACUUAAAGAUUAUGUUUUUAUAUUUUAAAGUCAUGCUUGUCUUGAAGGCCAAGUAUCUAUAGCAGCAGAAGGAAGAUAUGUUGGCAAACACAUCCAUCUCCUCCUUAACCUGUACCACUCUUCACUUUAAGGCAUGCAUAAUAAUGCUUCUUUGCAGGAAGGUGUCUGUUGCCCAGUCUGUGGAACAGAGGUAAUGAAAAGCAAAUGCUGGCUCCCAUUGAAGCAUUCAACUUGCAAGAAAAAUCUUGAUAAUGAUUUCAGACAAACCAUGGUGAGGCAGCUGUGCCCCUGCAGUCCAUGGAAAUCCAUGGUGGAGCAGAGAUCCACCUGCAGCCCCUGGAGGGCCCCUUGCCAGAGCAGGGUGAUGCCCAAAGAAGCAAGAUCCUGGCAGGACCUGUGGACCAAUGGAGAGAGGAACCUGUAGUUGAGCAGGUUUGCUGGCAGGAACUUGUGACCACAUGGGAGGGACCCACACUGUAGCAGUUUGUGAAUAACUGCAGCCUAGGGAAGGAUUCAGGUUGGAGAACUUGGUGGAAGAUGGUAUCCUAUGGGAGGGUCCCUGUGCUGAAGCAGGGGAAUAGUGUGAGAGGUCCUCCUUCUGGGGAGGAAGGAGUGGCAGAGACAACACGGGAUGAUCUGACUGCAGCCCCCACUCCCUGUCCCCCUGUGACACUGGAGGGAAUAGGCAGAGAAUGCAGUAGUGAAGUUGAGCCCAGGAAGAAGGGAGGUAUGGCAGGGAAGUAUUUUUAAGAGUUGGUUUCAUUUCUCAUUACCAUAUUCUGAUUGAAUUGGUAAUAUGCUGAACUAUUUUCCCUAAGUCUGUUUUGCCCAUGGCAGGAACUGGUGAAUGAUUUCUUCCUGCUGUUAUUUUGACCCAUGAACCAUUUGCUAUAGCUGUGGAGGGCAAUGACAGUGGUAUCCAGCCAAGGUCAACCCACCAAAACUUUAAAAUGUUUUACAUUUUCAGCCUGCAUGUUCUUACACUACAAUGCUGAUUUGACUUUCAUAAGUGUCUUUUCAAAAAACAUUGUCUAAAAAGGUCAACAGACCUCAGGAUACUUGAGGUAGUAACAGUUCAGUAACAUGGAAAGCAGAUUGUUUAUUGGACUAGCUAUAAAUUACAUUUCUAAUAUAUCUAUGUGUACUAGAAAAUAUGGUACUGAUGGAGAAUAUAAUUUGUGAUGAUUAGAUUAAUUAGUCUGCUGGGAUUAAUUUUUCAAGAUACUCUAACGUUUUCAUGCUUAUAAACCCUAAAUUGUGAUUAAACCAUCAUAUUAAUACAGAGCUAAA